GGAGAAUGUAACCCUGGUUAUUCGCUAGUGUAUGAAAUUUCUAUUUUUUUCCGAUGGUCUAUAAACGCAUCACUUGCUGCAACGUGUUCUGAGCUGCUGCGCCACAACUUUCCUCCAUUCCUCCGCGGGUUUUUGAACAAGAAACACACUACUAUUCUCUCUUCCAUAUCACGGAGAGUCGGAGUGAGAAGCCAUGUUAGCUGUGUGCGCAUGAGGCUGAAUUGAGGCCGACAGGUAGUCGCCAUUACACAAAACUUUCUGGCUGGUUUUUCCCGGGGGUAUCCGGUUCCACAUGCAUAAACUUCUUCAUGAUGAUCUUCACUGAAUGAUUCGGCUGAGCCAUCCUGCCUGGUGGGAAAGAACUACUGCAGGCUGAUCCUCCGACCGCUGGUUGCUGAUACCGCUCUACACUGCAUCAUUUCAAGGAGGCGGUAGGAGUAACCUUAAGGGCCCCAACGUGCACUUUAAAUACUCUGAGCUCAGGUAUUUUUUUUAUUAUUUUAUUUAGUUUCUAUUUUAUUUUUGGCCAAACAGCUGGAACAACAUCCGCAUUCUCGCACUGGAGCCCGAUCGGUCGGGUUCACGGACAAUUUAGGAUAGGAAACUGUGCAACAAACCCUGUAUUGUCUCUUUUGUUAUUUUGGGUUGUAUGUAAAUAAAUUGUCAUUGUCCUU